rnacentral:rRNA from 1 species
GACGAACCGUGCGAACGUUAUUCGGAAUCACUGGGCUUAAAGCGCGUGUAGGCGGGCCGCCGCGUCGGCUGCUGAAAUCCCCCGGCUCAACCGGGGAAGGGGCACCGAUACGGGCGGCCUGGAGGGGGGUAGGGGGGUCUGGAACUUCCGGUGGAGCGGUGAAAUGCGUUGAGAUCGGAAGGAACGCCCGUGGCGAAAGCGAGGUCCUGGACGUCUGCUGACGCUGAGACGCGAAAGCGUGGGGAGCGAACAGG